AGUGAACGCUGGCGGUAGGCCUAACACAUGCAAGUCGAACGGCAGCACAGUAAGAGCUUGCUCUUACGGGUGGCGAGUGGCGGACGGGUGAGGAAUACAUCGGAAUCUACUUUUUCGUGGGGGAUAACGUAGGGAAACUUACGCUAAUACCGCAUACGACCUACGGGUGAAAGCAGGGGAUCUUCGGACCUUGCGCGAUUGAAUGAGCCGAUGUCGGAUUAGCUAGUUGGCGGGGUAAAGGCCCACCAAGGCGACGAUCCGUAGCUGGUCUGAGAGGAUGAUCAGCCACACUGGAACUGAGACACGGUCCAGACUCCUACGGGAGGCAGCAGUGUGGAAUAUUGGACAAUGGGCGCAAGCCUGAUCCAGCCAUACCGCGUGGGUGAAGAAGGCAUUCGGGUUGUAAAGCCCUUUUGUUGGGAAAGAAAAGCAGCAGGUUAAUACCCAGCUGUUCUGACGGUACCCAAAGAAUAAGCACCGGCUAACUUCGUG
rnacentral:rRNA from 1 species